rnacentral:rRNA from 1 species
AUUGAACGCUGGCGGCAGGCCUAACACAUGCAAGUCGGACGGUAGCACAGAGGAGCUUGCUCCUCGGGUGACGAGUGGCGGACGGGUGAGUAAUGUCUGGGGAUCUGCCCGAUAGAGGGGGAUAACCACUGGAAACGGUGGCUAAUACCGCAUAACGUCGCAAGACCAAAGAGGGGGACCUUCGGGCCUCUCACUAUCGGAUGAACCCAGAUGGGAUUAGCUAGUAGGCGGGGUAAUGGCCCACCUAGGCGACGAUCCCUAGCUGGUCUGAGGGGAUGACCAGCCACACUGGAACUGAGACACGGUCCAGACUCCUACGGGAGGCAGCAGUGGGGAAUAUUGCACAAUGGGCGCAAGCCUGAUGCAGCCAUGCCGCGUGUAUGAAGAAGGCCUUCGGGUUGUAAAGUACUUUCAGCGGGGGAGGAAGGCGGCGCGGUUAAUAACCGCGCCGAUUGACGUUACCCGCAGAAGAAGCACCGGCUAACUCCGUGCCAGCAGCCGCAGUAACAC